rnacentral:rRNA from 1 species
GACGAACGCUGGCGGCGUGCCUAAUACAUGCAAGUUGAGCGCUGAAGGUUGGUACUUGUACCGACUGGAUGAGCAGCGAACGGGUGAGUAACGCGUGGGGAAUCUGCCUUUGAGCGGGGGGCAACAUUUGGAAACGAAUGCUAAUACCGCAUAAAAACUUUAAACACAAGUUUUAAGUUUGAAAGAUGCAAUUGCAUCACUCAAAGAUGAUCCUGCGUUGUAUUAGCUAGUUGGUGAGGUAAAGGCUCACCAAGGCGAUGAUACAUAGCCGACCUGAGAGGGUGAUCGGCCACAUUGGGACUGAGACACGGCCCAAACUCCUACGGGAGGCAGCAGUAGGGAAUCUUCGGCAAUGGACGAAAGUCUGACCGAGCAACGCCGCGUGAGUGAAGAAGGUUUUCGGAUCGUAAAACUCUGUUGGUAGAGAAGAACGUUGGUGAGAGUGGAAAGCUCAUCAAGUGACGGUAACUACCCAGAAAGGGACGGCUAACUACGUG